GUUGGAGGAAGCUGUCCCCCAGACCGGCGUGUCUCAGAGGGGGAGUGAUGGAGAGCAGCAGGAGCUGGGAGCUGAACAGUCUGCUGGGAUGCCAAUGGAGUUGGAGGAGGAGGUGAGAGAAGGGGUGGUGUGAUGAGUGGGGCCUGGUGGGGGGCUCACAUACCCUCGUGGGGUACCCUGGGCACGCUGGGAGAGGGCAGGAACUCACCCGGCCCACGGGCUCCUGGCUCAGCGUGUGUGGGGCUGUGGACUGCUGGCAAAACCCCUUAACUUCCCAGCUAACGGGGAAUUUGGGGAACAAACUCAGCUCAGAGAUGGGCUAAUGCUGUGCUUUUGGGUGAUUGCUCCAGGCUCCAGAGGAAACGCCUCCCAGCAGCCUCAGAGCAACCCACCAGACAGACGUCCAGCUGGAAAGGAAGACACCAAGGUGCCUUCUGCAGGGGUUGUCUGGCAGCCGGGCAGAGACGCUCCUCGCUGCCGUCCUGAACGUUGCCCGAAAGCAGUACGCCCUCCUGAAGGCUGCCGCCCUCCUCACUCCUGCCAUGGUCUCCGAAUUUGAGGACCUGGAGCGCCUGGUCAGUCAGGAGGCUGGUGUAAGCGGGGAGCAAGCCACGUCUGCAAAGGGAGCCUCAGAGAUCAGCGGGGCCAGCUCUGCCCAGAGGAUGCAGCAGGGCUGUGAGGCCCAGGUGUCUGUCACCGUGCCCAGCACCCCCGGGAUGAGCGGCACCGUGCAGCGCUUGCAGGACCUCGCUGCCCCCUGCAGCCCCACGUCGGUGGCUCCUGGCCCAAUUAAGAGGAAGGGGACUACAACAAGCCACACGUCCCUGGUGUCAUCAGCUGCCCAAAACCGCCGCACCCUGCCUGCUGUGCCCGUUCACAACUUGAACGAGACUUUUGAGGUCUCCAAGGGCAGUGGUUCACCCAGCGUGGCCGAGGCAGCUGCCUCCAGCCUGCCAGAAUUCUCCAUCUGGGAGAGUGUCCAGAGCCACCUAAACAAGCAGGACGGCCCCGUCAUGCCCCAGUAAGUGCUGGCCGGGGGGGGUUAACUGUGGUUUUGGGGCUCCCCCCUCCACAAUCUUGCUGUCUGGGUGAAUCCUCUGUGGAUCGCUG
rnacentral:lncRNA from 1 species